rnacentral:rRNA from 1 species
UACAGAGGUCCCGAGCGUUGUUCGGAUUUAUUGGGCGUAAAGGGCGCGUAGGCGGUUUCUUAAGUUUGAAGUGACAGUGGGUGGCUUAACUCCCCAAGGCCUUUGAAAACUGGGGAACUUGAGGACCAGAGAGGGACAUAGAAUUCCGGGUGGAGUGGUGAAAUGCGUAGAUAUCCGGAGGAAUACCAAAGGCGAAGGCAGUGUCCUGGAGGGUUAACUGACGCUGAGGCGCGAAAGCUAGGGGAGCGAACAGG